CCUACGGGAGGCAGCAGUGGGGAAUUUUGGACAAUGGGCGCAAGCCUGAUCCAGCAAUGCCGCGUGAGUGAAGAAGGCCUUCGGGUUGUAAAGCUCUUUUGUCAGGGAAGAAACGGUGGGGGCUAAUAUCCUCCACUAAUGACGGUACCUGAAGAAUAAGCACCGGCUAACUACGUGCCAGCAGCCGCGGUAAUACGUAGGGUGCAAGCGUUAAUCGGAAUUACUGGGCGUAAAGCGUGCGCAGGCGGUUUUGUAAGUCUGUCGUGAAAGCCCCGGGCUCAACCUGGGAAUUGCGAUGGAGACUGCAAGGCUUGAAUCUGGCAGAGGGGGUAGAAUUCCACGUGUAGCAGUGAAAUGCGUAGAGAUGUGGAGGAACACCGAUGGCGAAGGCAGCCCCCUGGGUCAAGAUUGACGCUCAUGCACGAAAGCGUGGGGAGCAAACAGGAUUAGAUACCCUGGUAGUCCACGCCCUAAACGAUGUCUACUAGUUGUCGGGUUUUAAUUAACUUGGUAACGCAGCUAACGCGUGGAGUAGACCGCCUGGGGGAGGUACGGUCGCGAAGUAAGUUAAACGUUAACGAAAGUAAAGUUAGUUACGGCGUUGAGACGNGCCGACGGACGACGACGAGGGAGGAGGAG
rnacentral:rRNA from 1 species